CCAAAACGUCAGCGUGGAUCAUCAUUUGUUGUUGCUUUGCACGGGCUGCGUGCGCUGUUCGGUCUCGUGGUUUUCAUGCCGUGGGAUCGGAAAGUCGUACCAGCCCAAAACUUGCCGCAAGGCGCCUGUUAAGGCAAUGCACUAUAGGGACUUCCCCCUUGUCGAUGCGGUGAUGGAUUCUCCUGUCACCGUGUCAGCCCGGACUUGUCAGCAAUGGCAAGUCCCACCUUGGUCAUAGAUCCUUCAGACGUGGCGCGUAGAGUCCUAGUAGAGAGUACAACCUACGGGUUGUAUGGCGUGGCAGCCAACGGGUUAACUAUUAUUGUAUGUGUAUGUUGUAUUAUGUAUUGUAUGUCUUAUGUUAAACCGUGGUGGAAUUGUGGGUGGAGGUGGGCAAAUAAAACACAAUUCAACAUUCUAA